GUGUUCGCUUCAGCAACACAUAUACUAAAAUUGGAACGAUACAGAUUAGCAUGGCCCUUGUGCAAGGAUGACAUGCAAAUUCGUGAAGCGUUCCCUAUUUUU